rnacentral:lncRNA from 1 species
CUUCCCGAAGGUGCGUCAGUAAUGACGGGUACUUUCUUUGUUUUAAAACAAGCUGUUGUGGUGCUGUUUGAUUCGGGAGCCUCCCAUAGCUUUAUCGGGAGUAAGGCAAGGGAAAGAUGCGAGCUAAGUGUAGGUCACACUAAGGAACCCUAUGUGAUCGCCACUCCUGGAGGAAGGAUAACGUCGGAUCAGGUCGUUAUUCUUGUACCUCUCCAGCUAGGCCCCAC